rnacentral:rRNA from 1 species
UCCUACGGGAGGCAGCAGUGGGGAAUAUUGCACAAUGGGCGCAAGCCUGAUGCAGCGACGCCGCGUGAGGGAUGACGGCCUUCGGGUUGUAAACCUCUUUCAGCAGGGAAGAAGCGAAAGUGACGGUACCUGCAGAAGAAGCGCCGGCUAACUACGUGCCAGCAGCCGCGGUAAUACGUAGGGCGCAAGCGUUGUCCGGAAUUAUUGGGCGUAAAGAGCUCGUAGGCGGCUUGUCGCGUCUGCUGUGAAAGCCCGGGGCUUAACUCCGGGUGUGCAGUGGGUACGGGAAGGCUAGAGUGCAGUAGGGGUAACUGGAAUUCCUGGUGUAGCGGUGAAAUGCGCAGAUAUCAGGAGGAACACCGAUGGCGAAGGCAGGUUACUGGGCUGUUACUGACGCUGAGGAGCGAAAGCAUGGGGAGCGAACAGGAUUAGAUACCCUGGUAGUCCAUGCCGUAAACGUUGGGCACUAGGUGUGGGGGACAUUCCACGUUUUCCGCGCCGUAGCUAACGCAUUAAGUGCCCCGCCUGGGGAGUACGGCCGCAAGGCUAAAACUCAAAGGAAUUGACGGGGGCCCGCACAAGCGGCGGAGCAUGCGGAUUAAUUCGAUGCAACGCGAAGAACCUUAC